CAGACUACUUAUGAUUGGUAUUAUUUUCUUCAGAUGCUUUUUUGGUUUUGAUGCCUAGAAUGCCCUCUUAUUAGUGAUUUUACUUAUAAAAUAUUUUUUUAAAACAACUUUAAUCAACAUUUUGAUGACCUAUUGUACAUUACAUAAAUUAAUCAUGGUUCCUUUUUCUAGGCAGCACAGAUUGUGCUAAUCUCUCUGUUUGAAUUGAAUACUCCUGAAUUUACCAUGUUACUUGGUGCCUUGCCAAAAACAUUCCAGGAUGGUGCCACCAAACUCCUGCACAACCACCUCAAGAAUUCCAGUAACACCAGUGUGGGCUCUCCAAGCAAUACGAUUGGCCGGACGCCCUCCCGACACACCAGCAGCAGGACCAGCCCCCUGACCUCACCCACCAACUGUUCCCAUGGGGGUCUGUCUCCAAGCAUGCUGGACUAUGAUACAGAGAACCUGAACUCUGAAGAAAUCUAUAGUUCUCUACGUGGAGUUACAGAAGCCAUUGAAAAGUUUAGUUUUCGAAGCCAAGAAGAUCUGAAUGAGCCAAUUAAACGAGAUGGCAAAAAGGAGUGUGAUAUUGUGUCCCGCGAUGGGGGCGCUGCCUCCCCUGCCACCGAGGGCCGGGGGGGUGGUGAGGUAGAAGGAGGCCGGACAGCUCUGGAUAACAAGACCUCACUACUCAACACCCAGCCUCCGCGCGCCUUCCCGGGGCCGCGGGCGCGAGACUACAACCCGUACCCCUACUCAGAUGCCAUCAACACCUACGACAAGACCGCCCUGAAAGAGGCUGUGUUCGAUGACGACAUGGAGCAGCUUCGAGACGUGCCCAUCGACCAUUCUGACCUGGUGGCUGACCUUCUGAAAGAGCUGUCCAACCACAACGAGCGAGUGGAGGAACGGAAGGGAGCCCUGCUGGAGCUGCUCAAGAUCACGCGGGAAGACAGCCUUGGUGUCUGGGAGGAGCACUUCAAGACCAUUCUGCUCCUGCUGCUGGAGACCCUUGGAGACAAAGACGUGAGAUGCUGGUUUGGCCUUAUCUUGCCCCUUUCCAUGUAAUGGGGUCACGAUGUCCUUUUCUUAUUGGGCUUAGCUUCAGCUUUACUUUCUGGGUUGUGCUUACUGUUUACAUCAAAACAUUUAUUUGUUCAUUUUUCACAUAUUUUCUGAGCACGUUUAAUAAGGUCAUGUUUUUAUCAGCAACAAGCUGCUGCUUGGCUUACGUGCAUGGUCUACAACUGGGUUUAUAGUAGUUGAGGAAACUUCAUUCCUGCAUCUAGUUGCUUUAACACAGAAUUUCUUAAAACUUUAUUAGCAUAGAAUGUGGUCUUUUAGGAUGUACUUUUUUACUUGUGAGUUUCAUUUUUGUUUCAUAUGUAAUUGAGAAAUAAAAAGGUUCAUUUUAAAAGACCUAAUUAAAUGCUACAUUCCAUGAAAUUCCAUCUUGGUCCCCCCCUACAUAUGUUAAGAGUUCCAAUAAUUUUAAUCAGUCAAGUGGCAGGUUCCAGAAGCAUGAUUCUGAUUUUUGUAUUAUUAAUUUAAAAAUAAAAAAAGCUUCAUCAUGCUGGGACAUUUGAAUGUGACAAACUAGGCAUUUCUGACACGCCUGGUCUGUGAUCUGCACAUCGCACAUAGAGAACUCUUAAAAGGGGGAGUAAUCUGGUCAAAGUCCUGCCUUCUCCCACCUGUGGAGCUGGUCCCUUAUAUGGAAACAGGAAUAGAUGCUGAGAAUUACCAGAAUUAAACCUCUACAAGAAAAAGUUUCUCCAUCCACAUGGAGAAGAGAAAUGAGAAGAGAGUGCUGUGGGGAGGGGCUGGAGGAAGGGGAUGGGAGGAUUGCCAGGAGGUGACAGGCCAUGCCCAGGGCCAGCUAGAGGGGACUUGCAUGGCAACUGAGUGACAGGGAGGCUGCUGCAUGCCAUGCCGUGGUGACUCAGAUAGCUUUCUGAUGCUUCGGAUUAAUGGUUUGGUUUAGGGAUAAGUAAAAAUAGAAGAA
rnacentral:sRNA from 1 species